ACGGAAGGCAGCAGUGGGGAAUAUUGGGCAAUGGGGGAAACCCUGACCCAGCAACGCCGCGUGAAGGAAGAAGGCUUUCGGGUUGUAAACUUCUUUUAAGAGGGACGAACACAAGGACGGUACCUCUUGAAUAAGCCACGGCUAACUACGUGCCAGCAGCCGCGGUAAUACGUAGGUGGCAAGCGUUAUCCGGAUUUACUGGGUGUAAAGGGCGCGUAGGCGGAGUGGCAAGUCAGAUGUGAAAUCUCUGGGCUUAACCCGGAAACUGCAUUUGAAACUGUCACCCUUGAGUGUCGGAGAGGUAGACGGAAUUCCUUGUGUAGCGGUGAAAUGCGUAGAUAUAAGGAAGAACACCGGUGGCGAAAGCGGUCUACUGGACAGUAACUGACGCUGAGGCGCGAGAGCGUGGGGAGCAAACAGGAUUAGAUACCCUGGUA
rnacentral:rRNA from 1 species